GGUGAGAACCUUCGAUUAAGGUUCGACUCGAGCGAAAGCGAGAGAACGUUGCCAACGGCAACGGCCCGUAGGGUGAGGAGCGAAGCGACGAAUAAUCCUUCCCCCACCACCA
rnacentral:sRNA from 2 species